rnacentral:rRNA from 1 species
UACGUAGGGUGCAAGCGUUGUCCGGAAUUAUUGGGCGUAAAGAGCUUGUAGGCGGUUUGUCGCGUCUGCUGUGAAAUUUCGGGGCUCAACCCCGAACUUGCAGUGGGUACGGGCAGACUAGAGUGUGGUAGGGGAGACUGGAAUUCCUGGUGUAGCGGUGAAAUGCGCAGAUAUCAGGAGGAACACCGAUGGCGAAGGCAGGUCUCUGGGCCACUACUGACGCUGAGAAGCGAAAGCAUGGGGAGCGAACGG